rnacentral:rRNA from 1 species
GAUGAACGCUGACAGAAUGCUUAACACAUGCAAGUCAACUUGAACUUCGGUUUGGGUGGCGGACGGGUGAGUAACGCGUAAAGAACUUGCCUCACAGCUAGGGACAACAUUUGGAAACGAAUGCUAAUACCUGAUAUUAUGAUUUUAGGGCAUCCUAGAAUUAUGAAAGCUAUAUGCGCUGUGAGAGAGCUUUGCGUCCCAUUAGCUAGUUGGAGAGGUAACGGCUCACCAAGGCGAUGAUGGGUAGCCGGCCUGAGAGGGUGAACGGCCACAAGGGGACUGAGACACGGCCCUUACUCCUACGGGAGGCAGCAGUGGGGAAUAUUGGACAAUGGACCAAGAGUCUGAUCCAGCAAUUCUGUGUGCACGAUGAAGUUUUUCGGAAUGUAAAGUGCUUUCAGUUGGGAAGAAAAAAAUGACGGUACCAACAGAAGAAGUGGCGGCUAAAUACGUG